GACGAACGCUGGCGGCGUGCCUAAUACAUGCAAGUCGAGCGGAUCUUCAUUAGCUUGCUUUUGAAGAUCAGCGGCGGACGGGUGAGUAACACGUGGGCAACCUGCCUGUAAGACUGGGAUAACUUCGGGAAACCGGAGCUAAUACCGGAUAAUCCUUUUCCUCUCAUGAGGAAAAGCUGAAAGACGGUUUCGGCUGUCACUUACAGAUGGGCCCGCGGCGCAUUAGCUAGUUGGUGAGGUAACGGCUCACCAAGGCGACGAUGCGUAGCCGACCUGAGAGGGUGAUCGGCCACACUGGGACUGAGACACGGCCCAGACUCCUACGGGAGGCAGCAGUAGGGAAUCUUCCGCAAUGGACGAAAGUCUGACGGAGCAACGCCGCGUGAGCGAUGAAGGCCUUCGGGUCGUAAAGCUCUGUUGUCAGGGAAGAACAAGUACCGGAGUAACUGCCGGUACCUUGACGGUACCUGACCAGAAAGCCACGGCUAACUACGUGCCAGCCGCCGCUGUAACAC
rnacentral:rRNA from 1 species